GCAAAACAAAUCUGCAGUGAAAGAUGCAAAAAAAAAAAACGCAGAAGGCUCUUGUGAAGCAUUGUUAAUACGAUACGCGUUGUAUGAAUUAGUAAAAUAAGAAAUUGUAUUACACAGUAAAUCUUUCUAUAACGAGGUUUCCAUAUAGCAUGGUAGACUUAUGAUUUUAUGUUUCUAUAUAGCAACUUGAUUAACUUAAGCUGUUUUACCUUAUAGCAUGAACUUUUCUAUUAUAUUUUUAUAAUUGAAAUUAGUUGGGAAUUACUAUUAGUAAGGAAAUGAUAAACAUAAGAUGAAACAACAGACACGUGACAGAUAAAGAAGGAUAAAAAAGAAAAAAGGAAUAAUGACAGGUUCAGAAUGGGAGAAAACAUAACUAAUUUGCUUAAUUUGUUUAUUUAGUAUAUAUACGUCAAUUUUUUGGUGUAAUAAUUGGAGUAAGGUAAUUACCUAAUUAGUUAUAUUCCGUCCAUUCCAAACCUUUUAUUACUCCACUUUUGUUUUCUGUUACUUUAUUUUUCUAUUAUAUUUGUUGUUCUACCUUAUAGGACGGAAAAAGUAUUAAAAAUAGAGGGACCUAAACAUCGUUUCUAUGUUAAUUACAGUAAUGAUUAUGAACUGGUCUCUAUAAUUAAUUAAGUUACAAUAUUCUUUUCUCAAAUGAUUGAAGCGAUCUUUAAGACAAAUCGAUCAUUUUGUUGGAUUUAUUAACUAUUUAAAAUAAAAGUUGAACUGUUUGUUCGACUACACUUUGAUGAUAAAUCCUUAUAAUUUAUUAUUAUAAAUUAUUAUUCGUUGGUAAUUUAUUACUACAGAUUCUUAUUAGUUAGUAAUUUAUUAUUAGAGAUUAUUAUUAGUUGAUAAUUUAUUAUUAAAAGAAAACUGUGCCCACUUCUAUAUUUUGCUUGUUAAUAGUUUUAACAAGUUGAUAUUAGACUCUACGUGUAAUGUAAACACAAUAUACAUAUAAAUAUUUAACAUUAACUGUGUUGUUAACAUUAUAAGUGUGCUGCUCAAUUCGUUUCGAAGUUACAUACCGUAUUCACAUCACGUUGGUCGAAAUAGGCGUAGAAUGGAAUCGAACUAAUUAAAAAUGACUUUGUUUCAUUCAAUAGGCAAUAAAAUAGUAAAAGAAAAUUGACAAGGUGAUGAUAUAUUAAAUUUAAAUCAUAGUUUUUGUUCCAAAAUUUGUACCUUUAAUAACAUGAAAAAAAAUAGUGAUUUCCAAGAUGUUAAAAAUAAUCUACUUCACGCUACAGCUACAAGUGUUUUUCAUAUGUGUAUAGAAUUUCGAUUCAAGUCCACAUAUGAUUUUUUAGGUAUCAUGUGAACAUAUUUGAAAAACAGCAUUUCGAGAAAAACGCGUUCAAAGUUUCAUGUUUAAUCAUCUUAACGAGCAAUUCAUUCAAAUUUCUUCCUAAAAUCACUCAGUUAUUAAUAAUGCUAUAACUUUAGGGGAACAAUUAUUGUAAUAGAGAAUUAAUUUGAUUGAUAAAUUAGUUUGCUUCUCCUUUCUCUAAUUACAAACACAUAGUUGUAUAAUAUAGCGUCGACCUCGGUAGUUUUAGUGAUAAAUAAAUAUAACUUUGGCUUUUUAAAAUAUUAUUUAAUAUAAUCUGCAAUGAAAAUAUUAACAAAAAAUUCUAUUUUUUUUAUCUAAAAUAAAAGUGUACACCUUUAAUAGGUCUGCGCUGGGUCGACAGGAGGAUUUCGUGAAGUUUUAUUGGAUUGAUCAACAGACUGUGUAUGUUUAUGCAUUUAGGACAAUUCGAAAUAUUGGAAUAUAUAUGACAACGUGUGCAAAUGCAAAAAUAUAUAAAAAGUGAACAAUAAUGUACAUGGUAUGCCGUACAGAUGAUUAGACAUAUGUACUUUCAUUUUAGUUUCACUUAUUUUUCUGAAUUUUUGAAAAUACGAAAUUGCAUAUAAAUUCACAGUCGAAUUGUUAUAAAUAAAAGUACCUUCGCAACUUAACGCGCUACAAACAGUUAAGAAAUUUUUUAAAAAUUUGUUUGAACUUAUUGUAAGAGAAAUAACAUUACUUUCCAAUCUAUCUAAUAUAUAAAAUAUCAACAAUAAUAUGUUAUAUCAUUUAGAAGAUAAGACAGACUUUCACUUAAGUUUCAAUUCCCUUUCUGUAUCCGUGAAAAUAUGAAUUUGCAUUAAAUUCAAUUUCCGUGGAACGUCCAUUUACUCCAUUUACAACUACUCCAGAAUGAUUUUAUUCCUCGCCGUGCGAAUAAGAGAUGCGUAGACGCAUUUUGGUAGAAUCUGGUGGGGGAAUGUGGCGGCGCGCGAUAUGAUAGCGUUUUGAGAUGGUUCAGUUCCGCGCCGUCUUUCACGUGCGCGACACAUUUCGGGAAACGAGAAAUGUUAUCGGCGCCGGGAUUCGUCGACGAAACGUCCACAAUGCGAUUCCGCGUGUAUACUAUCCUAUUCCUUAUUAAUGUUUUAAUCUCACGACUCUACGAACACGAUAAACAACAUUUUACCCCGUUUUUAUGUGAAAUUUGUUCGCUCUUUUUUGUUCUCAAUGGUUUCUCGUUUUACUCCAAUUUAGCAACCCCUCGAACGUCCAACGUUAACGUGACAAAUUUAGAUAAACAUCGCAUUAUAUUAUCGCAAGUAUCUCUUUCGAGCUUCGUUCAAUGUUAACGUUCGACGUUCAAGGGUCGGUGGACGAUAGAUAUUGUAAAUUUCGUUAAGUGUUAAAGAAUUCGAAGAGUGACAGUGUGUAUAGUGUGUCCCGUGGAUAUAAUCAUGGAUAAGCCAGCCUUUCGGAUCGUCCGUCUCAGAAGUGCUGGAGUCUCGGAGGCCCGUGGCGCGACGAAUCGCGGGGAUCAUUGAAAUCCGGUGCCAAGCUCCAUUCGCAUUCCGGGAUUAGAACAGAACGUGUAAUGGCUGACUACUUCGUUGAUUUCGAUCAAGAUGACCGAGGAUUAGCACGAGUAAUUGUAACGAGAAUUGG